CCAGUGUGGCUGUGUUUGAAGAUGGGACCUCUAAAGAAGAUUCAGCAAGAAGGCAGCUAUCAGCAAGUCAAAAAGAAAGCCCUACCUGAAACUGAAGCAGCUGGAACCUUGAUCUUGGACUUCUAGCUUCCAGAACUGUUGUUGCUGCUGGCUUUGAGGGCAGAAUGCAGUUCUUAUAAGAAAAUAAGAAACUCGAGGGUACAGGAAGAAUAUUGAUAAAAAAUCAGAGAUAAGCUUGAAGAACACCUUUCAGCAUCUUGUAAGACAGGUCUAACGGUGAUGAACUCCUUCAUUCCUGAAAGAC